ensembl:snoRNA
AACCAAAGUGUUGAGUUCAGUUCAGGGUGGUUGCCCCUGUUCUGGUAAUUAAACUUUGGGACAGUGACUGGCUGGGAAGUGCACCAUGGUGACUGGAAGUUUUCUUAAGCCACCUGUGUUUCUCAGCCUACAAGC